AUGGAGGUGCUGUCAGAUCGGCUAAACACAGGCAAAGGAGAGCAUAAGAAGCUGAGAGGUAAAAUGUCAUCAUAUGCAUUUUUUGUGCAAACUUGUUGGGAGGAACAUAAGAAGCAGCAUCCAGAUGCUUCAGUCAACUUCUGAGUUUUCUAAGAAGUGCUGAGAGAGGUGGAAGACCAUGUCUGCUCAAGAGAAAGGAAAAUUUGAAGAUAUGGCAAAGGCGGACAAGGCCCGUUAUCAAAGAGAAAUGAAAACCUGUAUCCCUCCUAAAGGGAAGGCAAAAAAGAAGCUUAAGGAUCCCAAUGCACCCAAGGGGUCUCCUUCGGCCUUUUUCCUGUUCUGCUCUGAGACAUCGCCCAAAAAUCAAAGGAGAACAUACUGGCCUGUCCAUUGAUGUGAAGAAACUGGGAGAGAUGUGGAAUAACACUGCUGCAGACGACAAGCAGCCUUAUGAAAAGAAGGCUGCGAAGCUGAAGGAAAAAUACGAAAAGGAUAUUGCUGCCUAUAGAGCUAUAGGAAAGCCCGAUGCAGCCAAAAAGGGAGUUGUCAAGGCUGAAAAAUGCAAGAAAAAGAAGGAGGAGGAGGAAGAUGAAGAGGAGGAGGAGGAAGGGGAAGAUGAAUAAGAUGCAGAUGAAGAAGAUGAUGAUGAUGAAUAAGUUGAUUCUAGCACAGUUAUUUUUCUUGCCUCUAAAGCAUUUAACCCCUGUCUACACAAUUCACUGCUUUUAAAGAAAAAAACUGAAAUGUAAGGCUGUGUAAGAUUUGUUUUUAAACUGUACAGUGUCUUUUUUUGUGUAGUUAACACACUACUGAAUGUGUCUUUAGAUAGCUCUGACCUGGUGGUAUUUUCAAUAGCCACUAACCUUGCCUGGUACAGCAUGGGGGUUGUAAAUUGGCAUGGAAAUUUAAAGCAGGCUCUUGUUGGUGCCCAGCACAAAUUAGUUAUAUAUGGGGAUGGUGGCUUUUUCAUCUUCAGUUGUCUCUGAUGCAGCUUAUAAGAAAUAAGUGUUGUUCUGUUAACUGAAUACCACUCUGUAAUUGCAAAAAAAAAAAAAAAGUUGCAGCUGUUUUGUUGACAUUCUGAAUGCUUCUAACUAAAUACAGUUUUUUUUAUUAGUA